GAAAUAUCCUAUUUAAGCUUCUAACUUAAAAUAAAGCGAUUAAUUCGUUUAUAUUUCU
rnacentral:tRNA from 1 species